rnacentral:lncRNA from 10 species
UCUUUUAUUAUUCUACUCUCUCAUACAUGGGUCCCUGGGGCUAUUCUUCGACUUCUACCUUCUUUCCUAUUCUCCAUUUUCUUCCCUCACAAACUUUCCCUUCCAUGCUUUUUGCAUAAGCUCUUGCUUUUUUCCUUCUCCUUCUCUUUCAAGCCCAAUUUUUCUCCUUUUGUAAGUCUCAACCUUUUCCACUACAAAUAUUUCUAUUUUUCUCUUUCCUCUUUACCUGACUGCCCUGAGUUUGUAUAAUAGGUUCAAAGGGUAGGUGGAGCGGACGAAGGAAGAAACAGGAGAAAGCUAUGUUAUUCCUUGCUGAGGCCAGGAGGAAAUCAUCAAACACUUACAAAUUAAAGCUGAUAUAAUUUGUUACCUCUGUGGACUAUAUUUUUGCUGACUACCUCACCAUCACCAUCUUUGGGUCUUCGAUCUAAAACCAGAAAUAAGACAAUUGUUCUUCUUUCCUUCCCCAACAUUUACUUAUAGCAAGUUCACAUUUGAGUGAAAGAUGUUAUACUGAGUUUCCAAGUUAGUGACAUUAAUUCCAUUCAGUUUUUCCUGUAUGCCCAGAAGUGAGUUAACCUUGAGGGUGUAGAAAAAGAAAAUCUCACACUUGCUGCUCCAGCAUAAGAAAAGAAUUGUCCUUCUGCCACUUUUUUUCUCUCCAUGUCACUGUCAUAAUGUUACAAAACAAGAGUAUGGAAUGGCCAAGGUAUUUAAUUCUGAAAGCAAUUUAAUUUUAUAUGUAAAAAUUUAUCCAGAGGAAUUAGUUCGUCUCAUUUCAUUCUUGUGUACUCAAGGAAAUAGCCUUCCAGUCACAGAGAUCAUUCUUAAUUAGUUUUCUUUUUUGUAAAAGAAAAAAAUCUAAAGCCAAUGGGAUAUUCGAGAAGACUUAUUGUGAAAGUUUGCACAAGUGCGGGCUGAUUCUUUAGAGCUACAACUUCUCUAGUUUAGCUAAAAUUCAACAACGACUUCUAUUCUCGACAUAACUCAGUGAACACAGAAAGAUUGAGAGUUCUUGUAAAAAUUUCUAAAACAUGCAUUGCUGCAUCAUUUGACAAAAAAAUAAAAAGAAAGAAAGCACUUAGGCUGAAAGACUAGAAUAUGUCUCAAUUUACAGUAACCGCCAUAAAAUAAUAAUUUAUGAAGCCUUCUGAAUUCUGAUUUCCUGAACCAACUCAGUGUUUUCUGCUAUAAACUUAACCAUGAGAUUUACAGAUUUGUUAUUACCUAAGUGUGGCACCAUUUCAAAAUCCUCAGAAACUCUCAUAAUUUACCUUUGGACUGGA